AAAUUGAAGAGUUUGAUCAUGGCUCAGAUUGAACGCUGGCGGCAGGCCUAACACAUGCAAGUCGAACGGUAACAGGAAGCAGCUUGCUGCUUCGCUGACGAGUGGCGGACGGGUGAGUAAUGUCUGGGAAACUGCCUGAUGGAGGGGGAUAACUACUGGAAACGGUAGCUAAUACCGCAUAAUGUCGCAAGACCAAAGAGGGGGACCUUCGGGCCUCUUGCCAUCGGAUGUGCCCAGAUGGGAUUAGCUAGUAGGUGGGGUAACGGCUCACCUAGGCGACGAUCCCUAG
rnacentral:rRNA from 1 species